AUAUCUNUACCAGUGUGUUUUUCUCCUUAUUCAUCCUACCAUUGAGGUGGUGGAGACUAGUUCACAUUGCUGUGGACAUUUUGGUUACAAGAACUCUACCCGUAAGAUCCAGUUCUCUUGCGUUAAUUUCUUGUUUUUUCCAUUUUUUUUUCCAAAAGAUAUCUUAUCCAUAGGUUGUUGAUUGUUAAAUUGAAUCAUGAAUCACAUUCAAAAUAGUAAAUUCAGCUCU